rnacentral:lncRNA from 1 species
UUUUUAUUUUUGAGAUGGAGUUUUGCUCUUGUCAUCCAGGCUGGAGUGCAAUGGCGCGAUCUCGGCUCACUGCAACCUCCGCUUCCCAAGUUCAAGCAAUUCUCCUGCCUCAGCCUCCCGAGUAACUGGGAUUACGGGCACGUGCCACCACACCCAGCUAAUUUUUUGUAUUUUUAGUAGAAACAGGGUUUCGCCAUGUUGGCCAGGCUGGCCUCAAACUCCUGACCUCAGGUGAUCCACCCGCCUCGGCC